UGACCAUGCUUUUUUAUUUACCGAAAUAAGUGGCCUCUUUAUACCUUCAGAAACAUUAGUUCCUAUGAAAAGAAGGUCAGGAAUAUCAAUUGUUGUGAAAAUGAAAGUUCAAGCAGUCAACAUUUUUGUUUAUUUUAAAAUAAUUUAGAAGCCAAAAGAUAAAAUUAGCUCACUUUGCCAAAAUGCAAGGCAUUUAAGGCUCUUACAAAAAAAAAAAAAAAAAAAAGUAAACACUAAAUGGAAAUCAGCAAACUGCUUAGGAAAAAAAUGUGAAAGGGUGGUUUUUGUUGGAGGACACGGUUGCUUGCCAUUAAAAAUGAUCACUGUUCCAAGAAGGCUGUUUGGCUAAUGCCAGAGAGUCUUUAUCAGCAAAAUAAGAGAAGCACGCUGCGCCUCACACGUUUCUACACAUUUCUUGAAAAAUCUGAGCAAUCUUUAAAACAGGAGUGAAGAGUAGAAGCCAUUCUGGUCAGUCAUGCUUGAAGGGAUUCUCCGAUUCCUUGGUAAUCUCUGUCACUACUCUGACCACGCCUCCGGGUCCCCGCUGCGUUCACGUGACAAAGAGGAAGAUCAGCAUUGCUACAUCAGAGAAUGAAACAACAAAAGGGUGAGAGAACAUCAGUACACAAUGUAAUUUCUCAGUGAGUUUCAAAGAAGGACAACAAGCAACUUUUGUAUGAGAACCUGAACUGUGUGGGGCCAGCCAUUCAAUUAGAACCUAAUGCUAACAAGCAAGUGGUCACAACUUGGGUCCAUACCCAAGCACCAUGACAAUAUCAAAGUUCAGGAGGCCAGAAGUCUGAAGUCAAAGUGUUGGCAUUGUUGGUACCUUCUAGAGCACUACUCACAUAUAGGUCUCAGGACAUAUCGAAAUUUACAGCCUCAGAGUUGAGAGGGCCAAACUCUCAGGGCUCAUAGCUGUGACAAAACAUUGCCUGGGAUGUUCAAGGCUAGGCUCCAUUACCAGCUGAGUGACUCACCAGCUCAUGCACAAUACAUAAGAUUCAAAUUUGUGACCAAGCAAAACUUCAAAUAGCUCCAAAUUAUGAAUGCUAGGUUGCUUGGGAAUUGUUCAUUCUGUCUUUCAGCAUUUGCAAAAUAUUUAUUCAACAAAUUAAAAGAUCAGGGCUAAUAAUGAAUAUCAAGCCUCUAUACUUCUUGUUCUAUAAUUCUGCCAGGUUGUAUAAAAUCAUGCACCUCAAGAUCCUAUGACAUUAUUUACAACUUGUUCCUUAUCUCUCUGAUAUAUACCCCACCAUUUUAGAACCUUUUUCAUCUACUUAUGCAUUUUUGAAAUUUACAAUGAUGUAAGCACUUUGCCUACCUUCUGAUAAGUAAGAGAGGCUGUACUCACUUAAGCCUAUAGUUUGGCUGGGUAGAAAGAAACACAAAGAGACCAUUAUGAUAAAAUGUGAAUAGUUCUGUAUCACAGAGAAGCCCAGAAAAAGCAAAGGACAAAGAAAGACACAUCCAGUUUUCCUCUUACUGUGAUGUUCGAUCCAGUAACUUUUCCCGUUAGUUUUCCUCUCAUUCUGAACAUGGCUCAUGAAAUAACAUCCUGAAUAUGUCCAGAGUCAGCGAGUAUCACCCAGCAUCUAUGCUUUAGUCCCACUGCAGCUUUCACUAGAGCAGAUCUGCCACUUGCCUGUUCUAGUUUAAGUUAUUAUGGCUUCUAUCAGGACAUCCAUGUGAAAAUAGAUGUGAUGGACUUGAAAUAGAAUUUAGUAAUGGGAAAAAUGUCUGUUUUAGGCUAAAAUUUCGUAUCAAAUAAAUAGUUGCUAGGUGACUACACAAUGUGAUUCAUAUUCUGCAGCUGAUAUCACUGUAAAAAAUUAAAAGUUAGGUUUUCUUUAAAGUAUUUUCUCAUAUUCUCUAAUGAUGCUAGGCUGGGGACUUCUAAUACUAUAGGACAAACUUAAAUCAAAACACAUUGGCCAUUAAACUCUGAUUUCAGUAGGGAGUAACUGAUAUCUGAAGUCCCUGCUGAAGACACAGGAGGGUUUGAUGAUCUUAGAUUUGAGGUAGAUUUUCCCACAACUUUCAUUGUCUCAACUUACUCCAAGAAGAAAAAAAAAAAACAACAAAAACCUGUAUUAAAUGAAAACCCAAAGAAUUAUUAGAAUUGUAUGGUUCCAAAUAGGGUAAGAGAGUAAUAUAAGUAAUGGGAACAUAUAUCAGUAGAAACUUACUUUCUUUUUUCUUUUUAAAAAUUUUUUAAAGAUUUUAUUUAUUUGCCAGAGAGAAAGAGAGAGAGAGAACACAAGCAGGGGGAGUGGCAGGCAGAGGGAGAAGCAGGCUCCCCGCUGAGCAGGGAGCCUGGUGCUGGGACUCGAGCCCAGUACCCUGGGAUCGUGACCUGAGCCGAAGGCAGAUGGUCAACUGACUGAGCCACAGAGGCAUCCCUUACUUUCUCUUUUCUACCAGAUAGUGUGCCCCUGUAGGUGGAAACUAUCAUUUCUUUUUGGGGUGGCAACCCUUAAUUCUCUGUUCUACUUGGUAGGCACCCAAUAAACAUUUGGCAAUGAUUAUAAAAAUAAUGAAGAUGAAGUUAUUUUAAUUUUAAAUUAAGCUAAAUUCUGGGAAGAUUUUGUAAUAAAAAUAAAUUUUUCUUCCUGUUCUAUUCUUUGUUCUUCAGGACAGUUCAUGAGUAUGUCUUGCCUAUUCAGAAUGACACUAUGCAUUAUUCUCAAAAGGCAUGAAUUUUUUCAGUCUCUUGAGUCAUAUUGAUUUGGAAUAAACAUGUCCUUAAAAUUCUGAUUUAAUGUUCUCAGAAAAUUUUGCCCAUUAUGGAAGUCACUUUCAUAUGUUCCUGUGAGAGGACAGAGAUUUGAAUUUCUACUUGAUUUCUUGCUUCUAUUCAAUUUCCUAUCCAAGACGUCAAAUUCAUCUCUCACUUGUGACUUUCAUAGGAAGAUAUGAUGGCUCCAAUGGCAGAAGGGAAAGGACUAUAUUUAUAAUUGUCAGUAUUUUUAUAGCAACAAGCUGCUGGAUCAACAAAAGACAAUACAGAUUGAGCCAUUUGUAUUUUUACAGCUAUAAUUUAAUUUUACUUAGGAGCAAUAUAUAAAUUUUCUUUUGUGUUUAUUUAGCUAUCUGUGACUUGGGGCCCCUUUGUUGCCUUCGAAUUGUCAGUUAUUUUAAUACUGUUUUUAUCUCUUUUUUUUCCUCAUGAAAGCAGAAUUUUUUUUUUAAAGUGUAAUGACUAUAAAAGAAAAUGACACUGUAUGAAAGGUAUUGUUAAAAUGAAGUGCUAAAUGUCAAGAUUCUUAACGCAGAGGAGAAAAUUUACAUUAGAUUCUAAUUAUACUUUAGCAGCAAAUUAAAAAAUACAAAGAGAAUCUAAAAUUGGAAUAAAUAUACAAGUGAAUCAAAAUUGCUUUUAAAAUGCCUUUUCUUUACCAGAUGAUCAAAGUACCGAUUUUUCUUCUGUAUGAAAUGUCACAUGUUCUAAACAGUUUUCCUGAUUGGUUGAAAAUGAAAUUGAAAAUUCUGUGUGUUUUUUUCACAUCUACCUCAGUCAUAUAUCUCUUCAUUUUGCAUUUUAUUGUUUCUCAUAUUCUCUCUUUUAAUAAUCAGUUCCUUAUCCAUUUAGAUGCAUAUAUCCUGUGACAGUCUUUGAAGAAUAUAUAUACAUUAUUGUAGUAGAUUGAGCUAUUACAGUAGGUAAUCACCCACUCUGCUUCACUAUUUUCCUUAAGAGUUCAUAAAAGCAAAAAGAAGACAGAUAUUCUUAUUGAUCAAAAAUUACAGUAAUAAUUCAUCAAUAGAAGAUGAGUAAAGGUGAAAUGAUAUAAUUUUUAUUAAUCUUUCCAUUUCCUUUUAUUUCUUUCUUUUUUAAAUUUAAAUUCAAUUGGCCAACAUAUAGUACAUCAUUAGUUUCAGAUGUAGAGUUCAAUAAUUCAUCAGUUGUGUAUGUAUAACACCCAGUGCUCAUCAUAUCACAUACCCUCCUUAAUGCCCAUCACCCAAUUACCCCAUACCCCCCCACCUCCCCUCCAGCAACCCUUAGUUUGUUUCCUAUAAUUAAGAGUUUCUCAUGGUUUGUCUCCUUCUCUGAGGACUUCCCAUUCAGUUUUCCCUCCCUUCCCCUACGAUCCUCUGUGCUGUUUAUUUCACAUAUGAGUGAAAUUAUUUAAUUGUCUUUCUCUGAUUGACUUAUUUCACUCAGCAUAAUACC